rnacentral:rRNA from 1 species
CCUACGGGAGGCAGCAGUGGGGAAUCUUAGACAAUGGGCGCAAGCCUGAUCUAGCCAUGCCGCGUGUGUGAUGAAGGCCUUAGGGUCGUAAAGCACUUUCGCUAGGGAUGAUAAUGACAGUACCUAGUAAAGAAACCCCGGCUAACUCCGUGCCAGCAGCCGCGGUAAUACGGAGGGGGUUAGCGUUGUUCGGAAUUACUGGGCGUAAAGCGUACGUAGGCGGAUCAGAAAGUAGGGGGUGAAAUCCCGAGGCUCAACCUCGGAACUGCCUCCUAAACUCCUGGUCUUGAGUUCGAGAGAGGUGAGUGGAAUUCCAAGUGUAGAGGUGAAAUUCGUAGAUAUUUGGAGGAACACCAGUGGCGAAGGCGGCUCACUGGCUCGAUACUGACGCUGAGGUACGAAAGUGUGGGGAGCAAACAGGAUUAGAUACCCUGGUAGUCCACACCGUAAACGAUGAAUGCCAGUCGUCGGGUAGCAUGCUAUUCGGUGACACACCUAACGGAUUAAGCAUUCCGCCCGGGGAGUACGGUCGCAAGAUUAAAACUCAAAUGAAUUGACGG